ACGCUGGCGGCAGGCCUAACACAUGCAAGUCGAGCGGUAGCACGGGAGAGCUUGCUCUCUGGGUGACGAGCGGCGGACGGGUGAGUAAUGUCUGGGAAACUGCCUGAUGGAGGGGGAUAACUACUGGAAACGGUAGCUAAUACCGCAUGACCUCGCAAGAGCAAAGUGGGGGACCUUCGGGCCUCACGCCAUCGGAUGUGCCCAGAUGGGAUUAGCUAGUAGGUGGGGUAAUGGCUCACCUAGGCGACGAUCCCUAGCUGGUCUGAGAGGAUGACCAGCCACACUGGAACUGAGACACGGUCCAGACUCCUACGGGAGGCAGCAGUGGGGGAUAUUGCACAAUGGGCGCAAGCCUGAUGCAGCCAUGCCGCGUGUGUGAAGAAGGCCUUAGGGUUGUAAAGCACUUUCAGCGAGGAGGAAGGCGUUGUAGUUAAUAGCUGCAGCGAUUGACGUUACUCGCAGAAGAAGCACCGGCUAACUCCGUGCCAGCAGCCGCGGUAAUACGGAGGGUGCAAGCGUUAAUCGGAAUUACUGGGCGUAAAGCGCACGCAGGCGGUUUGUUAAGUCAGAUGUGAAAUCCCCGAGCUUAACUUGGGAACUGCAUUUGAAACUGGC
rnacentral:rRNA from 1 species